rnacentral:rRNA from 1 species
AUGGUGAUCCCUCCACCAGACAGGGCAGCUAGAAUCGUCGGUUUUCUCAAGCCCAACCUUUUGAGGAUGGAUUUCUCGAACAAGUUUGUGACCGCCCAGGUGAUCCACACCCCAACAACAACCGUCCCGUGUUCUGCGAGCUCACGGGAGAAGCUGCUGAGAUCGCACAUGUAG